rnacentral:lncRNA from 1 species
GGCACUUCUUCAUGCUGCCUUGCGAAGAAGCUGGCUUGCUUCCUCUUUGUCUUCCGCCAUGAUUGUAGAUUUCCUGAGGCCUCCCAAGCUGUGCUGAACUACCAAACCAAUGCAGACCAAACCAAUGCAGAACUCCUAUGUGCUGAUGGUGGUCUUACAUUUCCCUAAGUUUCUGCCGACUAAACUGUGCACACGUUCUCAGGACCUCCUGAAGCUGCGUCACAGGCACUAAUCAAAGAACACAACCAAGAGUUUGGCCUUUUCUUCAGCACUGGGAAUUGUGAUCCAAAGCUUUUCCUGAUGAAGCACAAAGUUGGAGAAAAAAAACGCAAACUAAACAACAACAAUGAAACAGAACAGAGUGAAUCUGCUGUAGCUCAAGAGAGGACGUAGCUGCCCCCACUCCGCAUCCCCGGGCUCGGGUUUGCCUUGCUGACCUCUGCUGCCACCUGGUGCCGCACAGAGAAACUGAGGAGAAACCACAUCAGUCUCCUUCAGCCUCAGCUUCACAUCUGUGGGUCAAGUAACCCUUUCAGAAGCUGAAUAAUGUGGGAAAGCUUUCCUCUCAGGAAAAUGCACACAUCCAACUUUGAGAAGAUGCCCUUGGGGGCGCUUCAAGGAUUCUAGAUAAUAACCCCCUUUCCCGAACAUCCAAGAACCUAAGAUUUUUUUUUUUUUUUUGAGAAAGUCUCGCUCUCUCUCCCAGUCUGGAGUGCAGUGGCGUGAUCUUGGCUCACUGCCAGCUCCACCUCCCAGGUUCACGCCAUUCUCCUGCUUCAGCCUCCCUAGUAGCUGGGGCUACAGGCACCUGCCACCAAACCCGGCUAAUUUUUUUGUAUUUUUAGUAGAGACGGGGUUUCACCGUGUUAGCCAGGAUCGUCUUGAUCUCCUGACCUUGUGAUCCACCCGCCUCGGCCUCCCAAAUUGCUGGGAUUACAGAUGUGAGCCACCGCACCUGGUCCAAGAGCCCAAGUUUUAGAUCUAGAGUGAUGUCAGCAUGACAUUGAUUUCCUGAGGCCCAGGGGCGAAGGAGCUGAGGACAGCAGAGGGGUGAAGGAACUCAGCUACAGACAGCAGCAGCUGAUGCACAGGCCUCCCAGCGCCUGAAGUCACCCGGAAUUGGGAAGUGCUCAGAAGCUUACAAAGCUGCCUCGAGGAACAGUAAGAGGACCUUGUGCAUGAAUAAUUUGUUUCCACACUGCAGAGUGGCAGAAGAAUCCCAGACUUCUUAGAGAACCCAGUGACUUUUUGCACCUUAAAUCUGUGAAAUCCUCAUGCUUUCUUCUGCCGUAUCCAUCGUUCAAACAAACAUGAGGCAAAGCUAGACACAUUCCUGAAGGAACCCAAGAAAUUCCUCUCUUUCUCUCUCUGGAAUGAAAUGAAUUCUCUAGACCACCAGUUCUAACCUUCAAAAACGAAACCUGUUUGUGAGAUCUCCUUCAAAUACUACUGUAGACCCCAGUGUUUAUUCAUUAAAUUUUUUAAACAUUUGUUUUAUUUGGAAUCAAA